GUGACAGCGCAGCCUCUAUGCCCGGAGCCCGGAGCUCCCGGCGGCUGGCGGUGCAGAUCUGGGGGCGCUGCCGGCUGUCCCCGGAGAGCCCACCCCCGGCUCCCUGGCGGCCCAGGUACCGCCGCGCCCCGCCCCUUGCCACGCCCCGCCCUGGGGAGCCCCGCUUCCGGGCGGCCCCUGGCGGCGAAGGGGACGCUGCAACGCUGAGCGGGAGCGCGAGGAGGGAAGAGGUUUGGCAAGGGGCCCCAAAGAGGCCGAGACCCCGAGAGUGCCGGCAGCGCUCUUUAUCACGCCUGGAGGCUCCUGCAGAGUCCCGGAACCGCCCGAACCUCCAGAAAUGCAGGCAGGGUGCACUCCCCAGGGGGUACAACUUUGGCAGUGAGGACCACAGAGGUCCAGGGAGAACCGGAGACCCGAGGAGCAUGAAGGCACUCUAUGACACCACUGCCUACAAACGCAGGGGCCGGAAUGCAGUGACAGGACACUGCUGGGAGUAAAGGCUCUCAGCGCCUCCGUGGAGGGCUGCCUCCACUCCCAAUAUCGUGCGGGGGGACUAGGACGAGCCUGGUAAGUCAGUCACAGGAUAUCAGUUCUCAGAAUAGAAGAGAAGCCAGGUCUGGACAGCACCUGAUGAUGGUCAACUCUCAGAUGACUGAUUGGUCAGAAGUUGCCAUCUUUUAAAAACAAUACCCUUGGGACCGGGCACGGAGGCUCACUCACACCUGUAAUCCCAGCACUUUGGGAGGCUGAGGCAGGCGGAUCACCUGAGGUCGGGAGUUCGGGGCCAGCCUGACCAACAUGGAGAAACCCCGUCUCUACUAAAAAUACAAAAUUAGCUGGGCUUGGUGACGCAUGCCUGUAAUCCCAGCUACUCGGGAGGCUGAGGCAGGAGAAUCGCUUGAACCCGGGAGGCAGAGGUUGCAGUGAGCCGAGAUCGCGCCAUUGGAUUCCAGCAGCACACUUGGCCAGGCACAGUGGCUCAUGCCUGUAAUCCCAGCACUUUGGGAGGCCAAGCAUUUCCAAUUAAUCUUGGAAUGAGAGCCGAGGGCAAGAAGCCAGCAGUGCCUGAGGGAGGCUAAAGAGCCAACCGAUCCAGGGAAACAAAUGCCAGCGAGGGACCCCACAGCAAAGAGACAGACACUGUGAGCAACUCUCCUGUUACCAUGAGGCUUGCGAGGCGUGUGCGCGGGUCUCCGCAUUGGCACCAUCUGCCAAUUCCUCAGGAGGACAGAACAAACCAGUGAGGCAUGAAGAUUAGAUUAUGUAACGCUCGAGGAUUGCUGUUUUCAAAGAGGAAACAAAUGGAACGAAUUGAUUUGCUUGUCAAAGUCAUGUCACUAAAGGAGAUCUAUUCCCUCCUCUUCUAAAAGGACCUCAUUAACGAGUGGAAUGAUUUCACAGAUUCAGAAAAUGUGAGACCACAAUCCACUCCAUUCAUAAGAGCAAGUCCACUUUCCAGAGUCGCCCUCACACAUUCUAUUCUGGUCCCCCGGCCUGAAAAAAUGUCUAUCCAGCGACUACCUAAAGGGUACCGACCUGGUGAGGGACAUAAUUGUCAGUUGCUAGCCAUAAGAUUUAGAGCCGGAGGCCAGGUGUCAUGGCUUACGCCCGUAAUCCUAGCACUUUGGGAGGCCGAGGUGGGUGGAUCAUGUGAGGUCAGAAGUUCAAGAUCAGCCUGGCCAACAUGGUGAAACCCCAUCUCUACUAAAAAUACAAAAAUUACCUGGGCGUGGUGGCGCACACCUGUAACCCCAGCUACUCAGGAGGCUGAGGAAUGAGAACCACUUGAGCCCAAGAGGCAGAGGUUGCAGUGAGCCAAGAUCAUGCCAUUGCACUCCAGCCUGGGCAACAGAGUGAGACUUCGUCUCAAAAUAAAUAAAAAUAAAAAA
rnacentral:lncRNA from 1 species